GGAAGAGGGAAGGAGGGAACUAGUAAAGAAGUUUUUUGUUCGAGCACUUUGUUGUGGUUUUGUUUUUGGUGCUAGGGACGGAACCCAGGGCCUCAUGUAGGCUAAGCAAGUGUUCUCUCACUGAGCCAUGCCAGUUUUAAGUAUACCUUUCUCUGUUAACUUAUCAUGGUUUCUAAAUACGUAAAUUUGGUUUUCCAAAACCAUAAUGUUUGUUACUUUCUCAUUGAAUAGCCUCCUUUCAGGAAAGUGGUCCAUUGCCAUAUAAAAUAUUGCUGAUAACAUUUAGUUUUUGUCUUCUAAUAAAUUUGUGUGGCAAUUUUCAGAUUAAUUAGAAAAUAAAUUUAUGUUCUUUUUCCCCUUUAGCUCCCACAACUCCCACAAUGUUGACAGCUAUGGUUUCACCUUCUAGCAAGGAGAUUUUUCUUAGAGCUAGUUCUAGAAAUUUUGACUAAUUAAAGAAAAUCAUUUAAAAAAUCUAAUACUGGGCAUUAACUAGCAUAAAGCCCACAUGGUAGCUAUAGUGAAUCUCAUAAUUCAAACUCUACCUGUGUUAGGCUUGCUGUUACUGUAGGACAUGCCUGAAUCAAUGAUAUAAAGAGAGAAGGUUUACUUUGGCUGGCAGUUAUGGAGGUUUCCCUCUAUAAACAGUUGGCCCCAUUGUUUUGGGAAACACAUUUUGGUAGGGAAUUUGUGAAGGAGCAGAGCUAUUCACAAGUGAAUAAAAGAGAAAGGAAGGGAAGGGGACCAGGUUCCACCAUCACCUUCAAGGGCACACCCCCCAGUGACUGGAAAACCUCCCAUUAGGCCCCUCCUCUUAAAGUUUCCACCACCUCCUAAUAGUGCCACACCAAGUAUUAAGCUUUUGACAAAGGAGUCAUUGAGACACUUCACUUGGCAUUUCACCCACCAAGUGACCAGCACUUCCCUUACGUUACUGUCUUCUCAUGAAAGUGAACAAACAACAUAAAUGUCAGAUGUCUUCAAAAGCAGCCAGAAAAACAGUGAGUUUGCAGGGACAAAAACUUAUAUCUUCAAAGAGGAUAUAAAAACAUUACAACCAUGAUGCAGAAUUGGUGGUAUAGAAUAAAACAUUCAGGAAAAAUUCUUUGGUGUAAAAUUCAUAAACAAUUGCUUUCUCAUGUACAAUCUUGUGGUGUUUGGUACAACUGAAGCCACUGUUCCUAUCUAGUUACACAACAUCACACUAACAAUAGAGCCCAGGUGUAUUAAACCUGGCACAUCUCAAAUCCUGUUCCCCUGGCAAUCAUUAAAGUUAUGUUUGUGUCUACAGGGUGUUUUAUGUGGAAGAAAUC